CGCUCCCCUUUGAGCAGCAGUACUGUGACAUCCAGAUUCUAGAUGGUGAACCAAUACUGCAAGUUAUUUCUCCCUCGCCCAUCGAAAUAAAGACUUUCUUUUACAAGUUUUAACUCGCACCAUGCUAUUGUUGCUGGCUAGCUAAGAAGUGUUCGUCAGGACAAUUUACUGAACCAAAUCCAUUCGACAUACAUCAUCAAUUUGGGCACCAGGCAUGUCCAUAUAGCCUCUACCCCUUAGCUUGGCAGCUGUUUUUAUGUUAACUCCUUUGUUUGUGCUCGACGAAAUUCUGAAACCGGACCAUGUUGUGGAUUCGUAUGACUGGAGGACUCAUUGACUAGCUUGCUACAUACAACAACCAACAACCUAAUACAACAACCUGGAGGUGGCAGAGUAUCUCCAGAAGCAAAGGGCUGACAUUAACGCACAGGACAAGGGAGGCCUCAUCCGUUUGCAUAAUGCUGCCUAAUACAGGGUCCGUCAACUCAAAGAUUACAUCAGGCUUUUGAAGAAGUUUUACAUGCUGUGUCGCCCAUCUUCCCUAUUAUCCCCUGUGUAUUUAUACACGUGUUCUCUGUUAAUAUGUUGCCAGUUUGUCAAGUCAACCAGCAGUUUUGCCUCAGCUCCUGCUUUUCCCAGUUUCUCCUUUUCUUUGACCCUUGCCUGCGCUGACUCGGAGCCCGCCUGCCUGACCACUCUGCCUGCCGACCUGCACCAUUGCCCCACCUCUGGAUUAUUGACCUCUGCCUACCCUGAGCCUGCCUGCCGUCCGGUACCCACCUCUGGUUUACUGAGCCC